GGUAGCAUUGCCGAACGAUCGAAGGCACUGACUUAAAGCUCCAGUCUCUUUGGAGGUGUGCGUUUGAAUCCCACUGCUACCA
rnacentral:tRNA from 1 species